ACGCACGCUGGCGGCGUGCUUAACACAUGCAAGUCGAACGGAAAGGCCCUGCUUUUGUGGGGUGCUCGAGUGGCGAACGGGUGAGUAACACGUGAGUAACCUGCCCUUGACUUUGGGAUAACUUCAGGAAACUGGGGCUAAUACCGGAUAGGAGCUCCUGCUGCAUGGUGGGGGUUGGAAAGUUUCGGCGGUUGGGGAUGGACUCGCGGCUUAUCAGCUUGUUGGUGGGGUAGUGGCUUACCAAGGCUUUGACGGGUAGCCGGCCUGAGAGGGUGACCGGCCACAUUGGGACUGAGAUACGGCCCAGACUCCUACGGGCGGCCGCAGUGGGGAAUCUUGCCCAAUGGGCGGAAGCCUGAUGCAGCAACGCCGCGUGCGGGAUGACGGCCUUCGGGUUGUAAACCGCUUUCGCCUGUGACGACGCGUGAGUGACGGUAAUGGGUAAAGAAGCACCGGCUAACUACGUG
rnacentral:rRNA from 1 species